rnacentral:rRNA from 1 species
CCUGUCAGAUACGUGCGAGAUGCCGAGGUAAGACGUGGGGUGCGAGCGGUAAUCGGAAUGUCUGGGCGUAAAGGGUGAGCAGGCGGUUCUGUAAGUCAGAUGUGAAAUCCCCGGGCGCAACCUGGGAACUGCAUUUGAGACUGCAAGGCGAGAGUGUGGCAGAGGGGGGUAGAAUUCCACGUGUAGCAGUGAAAUGCGUAGAGAUGUGGAGGAAUACCGAUGGCGAAGGCAGCCCCCUGGGUCACUACUGACGCUCAUGCACGAAAGCGUGGGGAGCAAACAGGAUAGAACCCGAGAGUC